UGUUGGUGGACAAUUAGGUCCCUCCAUAGCUGAAGUUCUCGACUCAAAUUUAUGCUAACCAAAUUUGUUUUUUUAGAAACAUGAGGCCUUCUGUUUUCAGAUUCCAUCAAAAUAUUCAAUCCCUAUUCUUCCAUAGAAACUCAUAACUGAAAUCCUUGGAAGGCUUCCUGUGAAAUCCUUCUUGAACAUUAGGUCGGUUUUGAAAUCUUUUCUUUUGAUAAUCUCUAGCCAUAAACUUAUCAAAAAUCAAUUUAUUGUAUCUAUUGAUAUAAAAUAUUCGACAUACCACAACUUUGUGUUGUCCCAAACUCAGAACGAACCAAGUAUACAUCAAGAAUGAAGGCUGAAGGAGCUCAAACGAAUGACAAUGCUUUAGCUGAUGACAUGUUGGAAGCUUUGUAAGGUUUCAAGGUGAAGCUUGGGAAAGUUCCUCCUAAGACAAAGCAUGUCCUCAUAUAUUCGAGGGCAUAAUGUUUUUCUUAUUUUUGUUUUAAUGACUUAUAUGUAUUUCAUUUCAAUGUGAAGGGCCGUGUCUCUAAGAUAUCAUGUCGUGUCUUAAGUUGGCUUGUGAC